rnacentral:lncRNA from 1 species
UCAGGAGCUUAAAUAACUCACUUAACAUAAAACAUGGAGUCAACUAAGGCUUCCAUUUAACUAGGCUAUCAAACACAAAGCCCUCAUUCUUACAAUACUCUUCUAAUGAUAGUUCCAUCUUUAUGAACAUUCCAGAGAUGGGGUUUCACCAUGUUGCCUAUGGAUCUCUACAUACAGUGUGAAAAAAAUAAGAGAAGAAAUGGAAGCCUAGAGGCAAGAUGACAGAAGAAACUGUAGUGUUAAUCCAGAUAAGACAUUGAAGAGCUAAACCAGGAUUUUGGUAAGACAGAUGGAGAGAUGUGAAUGGAUCUGAAUGCUACCAAGAAGGUCAAAUUCAACGGUGCUUACAGGCAUACCUUGGAAACAUUGCAGAUUUAGUUCUAGAACACCACAGUAAAGCAAAUAUUGCAAGAAAAUGAAUCACAUGAAUUUUGGGUUUCCCAGCGCACAUAAAAGUUAUGUUUACACUAUACUAUAGUCUAAGUGUGUAAUAG